ensembl:snRNA U6 U6 spliceosomal RNA
GCGCUCACUUCGGCAGCACAUAUACUAAAAUUGGAACAAUACAAAGAAGAUUAGCACAGCCCCUGUGCAAGGAUGACAUGCAAACUUAUGAAGCAUUCCAUAUUUUU